ACCGGUUUGGUUAUUGAAAGAAGGAAGGAUUGAGUUCGGUUUAAUCAUUGAAGCUGAAGACUCGACUUGGUUUAGAGGGUUUGACGUUGACUAUAAAAAGGACUCGUCUUCUUCUUUUCUGUUCAAUCCUCUGUAACAAACAUUGUAUCUUCUUCUUCUUCCUCUGAUCUUGAGCUUGUAACGGUGUGUGUAAAAGCUUGAGAAACUCCAUUGAUAUAGUGAAUUGCUGGUCAGAAUCCAGCCGAGACGUAGGCUUACUCAUCCCGAGUAGCUGAACUCGUAAAUCCUCUGUGUCACUUUCUUCUUUGAGUGUUUCUUGUUUUGAGAGUGAGAGAGGUUCGUGUGCGUGAGAUCACAAAUCGAUCAAGGUUUAAGGUGAAGGCAUCACCACAAUUUAUAGAGCCGAGAGUAAUGGCGUGGAAAGGUCCA